UACGUAGGAGGCAAGCGUUAUCCGGAAUUAUUGGGCGUAAAGCGUCCGCAGGUGGCACCUCAAGUCUGCUGUCAAAGACCGGGGCUUAACCCCAGAAAGGCAGUGGAAACUGAAGUGCUAGAGUGCAGUAGGGGUAGAGGGAAUUCCCGGUGUAGCGGUGAAAUGCGUAGAGAUCGGGAAGAACAUCGGUGGCGAAAGCGCUCUGCUGGACUGCAACUGACACUCAGGGACGAAAGCUAGGGGAGCGAACGAG
rnacentral:rRNA from 1 species